CCCUUAGAUGUUCUGGGCCGCACGCGUGCUACACUGACCGGUGCAACAAGUUUCUUUCCUUGGCUCGAUAGGCCUGGGUAAUCUUUGAACACCGGUCGUGAUGGGGAUAGAUCCUUGCAAUUUUUGAUCUUCAACGAGGAAUUCCUAGUAAAUGCGAGUCAUCAUCUCGCGUUGAUUACGUCCCUGCCCUUUGUACACACCGCCCGUCGCACCUACCGAUUGAAUGGUCCGGUGAAGCGUUCGGACCGUGGCCUUUGGACGGUUCGCCGUCUGUUGGCUGCGGGAAGUUCGUUAAACCUUAUCAUUUAGAGGAAGGAGAAGUCGUAACA
rnacentral:rRNA from 1 species